GUCCACGCCCUAAACGAUGUCAACUGGUUGUUGGGGUUUGACACUCUCAGUAACGAAGCUAACGCGUGAAGUCGACCGCCUGGGGAGUACGGCCGCAAGGUUAAAACUCAAAGGAAUUGACGGGGACCCGCACAAGCGGUGGAUUAUGUGGAUUAAUUCGAUGCAACGCGAAAAACCUUACCUACCCUUGACAUGUCCUGGAGCCUGGAGAGAUCCGGGUGUGCCCGAAAGGGAACGGGAACACAGGUGCUGCAUGGCUGUCGU
rnacentral:rRNA from 1 species